rnacentral:rRNA from 1 species
AUUGAACGCUGGCGGCGUGCCUAACACAUGCAAGUCGAGCGGUAACAGGCGUAGCAAUACGUGCUGACGAGCGGCGAACGGGUGAGCAAUGCUUCGGAAUCUGCCCAAUGGUGGGGAAUAACCAGUCGAAAGAUUGGCUAAUACCGCAUACGCCCUAACGGGGAAAGCGGGGGUCGCAAGACCUCGCGCCGAUGGAUGAGCCGCAGUCGGAUUAGCUAGUUGGUAGGGUAACGGCCUACCAAGGCGACGAUCCGUAGCUGGUCUGAGAGGACGACCAGCCACACUGGGAAUGAGAAGCGGGCCAGACUCCUACGGGAGGCAGCAGUGGGGAAUAUUGGACAAUGGGAGCAACCCUGUUCCAGCGACGCCGCGUGUGUGAAGAAGGCCUGCGGGUUGUAAAGCACUUUUAGUGGGGAUGAAAAGCACAUUGCCAAUACCAGUGUGUCUUGACCUAACCCAAAGAAAAAGCACCGGCUAACUCUGUGCCAGCCGCCGCCGUAA